UAGGGAAUCUUCCGCAAUGGACGCAAGUCUGACGGAGCAACGCCGCGUGAGUGAAGAAGGAUUUCGGUUCGUAAAACUCUGUUGUUAGAGAAGAACAGCGCAUAGAGUAACUGUUAUGCGUGUGACGGUAUCUAACCAGAAAGCCACGGCUAACUACGUGCCAGCAGCCGCGGUAAUACGUAGGUGGCAAGCGUUGUCCGGAUUUAUUGGGCGUAAAGCGAGCGCAGGCGGUCAAUUAAGUCUGAUGUGAAAGCCCCCGGCUCAACCGGGGAGGGUCAUUGGAAACUGGUUGACUUGAGUGCAGAAGAGGAGAGUGGAAGUCCAUGUGUGGCGGUGAAAUGCGUAGAUAUAUGGAGGAAAACCAGUGGCGAAGGCGACUCUCUGGUCUGUAACUGACGCUGAGGCUCGAAAGCGUGUGUAGCAAACAGG
rnacentral:rRNA from 1 species